UUCCUUCCUCACAUCCGGAGAUCAGUUGUCCAUACUAGUCCUCCUCCAGACUCUCAGUACUAUAAGAACAUAAAAGCAGCACUUGAUUCUGAGUCUGAAGGCCAUGGGUUCCAAACUAAAGACCCUCUGCUUUCUGUUUCUUGGUCUCCUGCCAAACACCACUGCUGAAUGAUGCUCAAGAAUGAUUCUCUAUCAACAAGAAUAUAUCUGUCCUUUUUUGAUUUGACCUCAGCCCCAAAUUAUCAGCAUAAAAGAAAGGAAUUGUAACAGGAAUAAAACAAAUCAAGAUACCACAGAAUAGAUCUGGAUUCUGAAGGGAAGAAGGAAAAUUGGAACUACAAAAAGUCUUCCUACAGGUCUUCAGUAGCCGUAGCUACUAUACCUACAGAAGCAGUUUCCAGACUGAGUGAUGUUACAUGAUAUGACCACAGGGCUGGGCUGGGAAACAGGACCAGUAAUCUGGGCAGGACUGCUACACCUGUGAUUUGGGUAUCCUGGUUCAGGCCCUCAUCAUCUCAUCCCUGGACUACUACAACAGCCUGACAGUUGUAACAUCUCCCUGCUUCAAGUCUUGCUCCACUCCAACCUAGCUUCCACUCAGCUGUCAAAGUAAUUUUCUAGCAUACAGAAUGCCAUUCUACAUAAGAAACAAUAUUUUUUAAACACAAAAGAAGAGAAAAAUCAACAUCAAAAAAAUCUAAAAAUAUGUGUAAUCUAUCACAUUUGUAGAUCUCCCAUAUCUGCAAAGGGAUUGUCUUCUAGAAAAUCUGAUUUCAAGCCAUGUUUAUUCUUUAUAAUUCUGUAUUAUUCAAUUUUGAUUUGUGUGUAUGUAUUUGUUCCUUCCAUUUACAUUGCUGUAAUUGUGUAAAUUGUUUUUCUUGACUUUGCAUCAGUUCAUGUAUCUCUUUCCUAUGUAUUCUUCACAUUUUUGCAAUUCUUACUGCAUGGUAAUAUUACAUUAUUAUUCACAUAUCACAGUUUGUUUAGCUAUUCUCCAGUUGAUAAGCAUCUACUUUUGUUUUGGUUAAGAAAUAUUUUAAUAUACAUUGUUUCACUGGCUAUGAAACAAGAAUUGUAAUAUUUUAAUUUGUAAUAUUGUAAAUUCUAAAGAAAAAACAAAGUGGCAUCUUAUAGGAAUAAUCUUUCAUAAAUUACUAGACAAUAAAAAAUAAGGGAGACAUGUGAGGAAAGGAGAAAAUGGAACAUUCACCAGUAGUCCAUGCACACUGAUCAACAUUUAAAAGCUUUUAUUAUAUAAUACCUGAUUUUUCUGACACAAUGUUAUGUUCUGUGCUGUUAUGAGAAUUAUAAAGACACAGACUCAUCCCUGAGAAGAUAGUCUUAGAUGCUCUAGAAUCAAAACAUGAAAUUAGUACAGAAAACUCCCAUUUAUCAGAAUACAAAGAAUUAGAAAGAUCCUUAAUCAAAAUUUUCUAAAAUCUAUGUGUAUGUGUAGGGGGAAGAAAGGCCAAUGACAAGUCAUUUUUGACUUAUUGUCAAUUUAUUCAAAAUUUCCAUGAUAAAUUUUGGGUUUAAUAUUUCUUCUUAUACGCCCUCACUUAAAAUUAUUUUUACAAUGAUAACUGAUGUUAAGAAUGAUGACCCUGAGAUCCGACCAAACACCAAUCAUUAUGUUGGGUUUGAUUUCAGGUUGUACAUUUUCUUAGCAUCUUAGAAAACUGAUAUCCCUAUAAAAAUGAAUGGAAAAGUAUCAUUUUAUCAGUGGGCAAGAAGUUGAACUUAGAAUCAAAACAGCCUGGAUCCAAGAGUUGCCUCUGACAGACUAAUUGUGUUUCUGGGCAAAUCAAUUUAAUCUCUCAGUGCCCCAGGAAAAUUUCUGAAACACUAAAGUGCAAAAAACUUCCCUAUCUGUUUUAGUUAGAGUGUGUUUCCUAACUGAAAAAACCUGCUGCCAGUGAAAUUGCAGGUACAAACACACAAACAAAAAUAAAUAAAUAUGGUAAUAUCCAACUAGAGUAUCCCUCAGUCACAUGAUGUUGAAUUGAUUAAACUGUCUUAUUCCAUAAUUAUUCUGGUUGAAAUUCAAUUAAAUAUGCAGAAGAGGAAAGUGAAGUGUUUAAAUUUAUCUGCUUCAAAAUUUAGAGUUCUAGAGGAUUGUUCUUCAUAAUUAAUUAGUACUUCUGGUUCAUAGAGAUAUUGUUCAAAAGAGAUGGAAUUUGGAAUUUAAAGAUCUGGAUUCAAAUCUUAAGUAUUACCAUUUACUAGCGGAAUCACUUUGGCAAAUUAAUUAAUUUGGCAAAUAAAUUCAACUUGUAUCAUCUGUAAAAUGAGGAUAAUCAAGUACUGUAAAAUAGGAAUUGAGUACAGAAACAGAUUUGAUAAUAUCAAGAUUUAUCUAUGCAUAGAACCAAAAACAUAAGAGGAAAAAUGAAAUGGAGAGUAUUUGAAAUUUUAAAAAGGAAAAACUAGAAAUAAUAUAUUUGGAAUAAGCUAUAAGCCAUUAGGAUUUUCAGAAAAUUGUUGAUACAAAUAAAUAAGUCUGGUCUGUAGACAGGAUAUAGUUGUGAUAGGAUGAUUCAACUAAUUAAAUAUAUGUUAUAGAUCCUUCUUUGGUAAAAGUAAGGUAGCCAAUAAAUUUUUUUUGUCAUGUCUUGAUGGUAUCUCUUAUUUUUUGGAAGACACAAGAAAUGAAAUGUCUAUUCGGGAACUGACCAGCAUAAGGAGGGGAAAAUGACAGAUACAACUCCAUGGAGAUCCCUUUUUCUUGUUAUUUUAAGAUCAUGAUGAUACAACUUUCUCAACUGAGUCUCUUCCCUACUUGGCAGUGGUAUCUCCUAUUGGUAGUCUUCUACCCUAGUAGAGGUUCAAGGAAAAAAGCAAAAAAAUGAACUCUUCCUCCAUACCUGGCCAAAGGAUGCUCUUUGAAGCUCUUCCCUGCCUCAAUGGAAUCCAGAUCUGACAAGCAAGUCUUUUAAGCUACCUGGAGUUGUGCUAAAAUUUAGUCAAACAAUGGUAACUGGCUUUCUAAAUUUCAUCAAGUUUGACUAACAGCUUUUCAAUAUUUUAUAAAACAGUAAUAAAAAGUCUUUGUUUAGACUUCCU
ensembl:lncRNA